UACGAAGGGUGCAAGCGUUACUCGGAAUUACUGGGCGUAAAGCGUGCGUAGGUGGCUUGUUAAGUCUGAUGUGAAAGCCCUGGGCUCAACCUGGGAAUUGCAUUGGAUACUGGCAGGCUAGAGUGCGGUAGAGGAUGGCGGAAUUCCCGGUGUAGCAGUGAAAUGCGUAGAGAUCGGGAGGAACAUCUGUGGCGAAGGCGGCCAUCUGGACCAGCACUGACACUGAGGCACGAAAGCGUGGGGAGCAAACAGG
rnacentral:rRNA from 1 species